GAACCUGAGAGUUUGAUCCUGGCUCAGAGCGAACGCUGGCGGAAUGCUUAACACAUGCAAGUCGCACGGGGGCUU
rnacentral:rRNA from 2 species